rnacentral:rRNA from 1 species
GAUGAACGCUGGCGGCGUGCCUAAUACAUGCAAGUCGAGCGAACAGAUGAGGAGCUUCCUCCUCUGACGUUAGCGGCGGACGGGUGAGUAACACGUGGAUAACCUACCUAUAAGACUGGGAUAACUUCGGGACACCGGAGCUAAUACCGGAUAAUAUUGUUAACCGCAUGGUUCAAUAGUGAAAGACCGGUUUGCUGUCACUUAUAGGUGGAUCCGCGCCGCAUUAGCUAGUUGGUAAGGUAACGGGUUAACAAGGCAGCGAUGCGUAACCGACCUGAGAGGGGGAUAGGCCACACGGGAACGGGGACGCGGUCAAUGCGCCUACGGGAGGCAGCAGUAGGGAACGGGCCGCAAUGGGCGGAAGCCUGACGGAGCAAGGCCGCGUCAGAUAUGGAGAUCUUCGGAUCGGAAAGCCCUGUUAUGAGGGAAGAACAAAUGUGUAAGGAGCUAUGCACGUCGUGACGGUACCUAAUCAGAAAGCCACGGCUAACUACGUG